GACGAACGCUGGCGGCGUGCCUAAUACAUGCAAGUAGAACGAUGAAGCGAGGAGCUUGCUCUUCUUGGAUGAGUUGCGAACGGGUGAGUAACGCGUAGGUAACCUGCCUUGUAGCGGGGGAUAACUAUUGGAAACGAUAGCUAAUACCGCAUAACAUUGGAUGCCACAUGUCUCUUUUUUGAAAGGGGCAAUUGCUCCACUACAUGAUGGACCCGCGUUGUCUUAGCCAGUAGGUAAGGUAAUGGCGUACCAAGGCAACGAUGCGUAGCCGACCUGAGAGGGUGAGCGGACACACUGGAACUGAGACACGGUCCAGACUCCUACGGGAGGCAGCAGUAGGGAAUCUUCCGCAAUGGGCGAAAGCUUGACGGAGCAAAGCCGCGUGAGUGAUGAAGGUAUUCGGAUCGUAAAACUCUGUUAUUAGGGAAGAACAAAUGUGUAAGUAACUAUGCACGUCUUGACGGUACCUAAUCAGAAAGCCACGGCUAACUACGUG
rnacentral:rRNA from 1 species